rnacentral:misc_RNA from 1 species
UUUUCCCUAAAGAGGUUCAAACCAGUUGUUCAACAGAUUGUGGGUGAAAGAUUUCACAGGUCAAUUAUUCCCUUCUAAAGGACUCGAAAGAAAGAACAUAAAAAUUUUUUUAAAAAGAAAUGUGAGAUAAAAUUACUCACAAAGAAAAAAAGGGAAAAAAAAAAUCGAAAAGAAGAAGAAGAGGACAAGUAUUUAACAUGAGAUUACUGA